GCUGGAACAGAGUUUAAGACUUGAGGUUCACAAAAGAUGUACAACAGCACGUGUAUGCGUGUGUUUGGGCAUGAGGGACAACAGGAAUACAAAAUAAGGUCUGUGGAAGAGCUUUCCUUUGAUCUAAUACAAACAGACUACUAUUCUGCAAGCUGCAAAGCUCUCAUUUAUCUAGGAGAAACCAGAGGACCUCUGAAAAUCCUGAAGUCCCUCUGUCAAAAACACCAAUAAUCAUUC